CACAAUGGACGCAAGUCUGAUGCAGCAACGCCGCGUGGAGGAUGACGGUCUUUGGAUUGUAAACUCCUUUUCUCAGGGAAGAGAAUGGACGGUACCUGAGGAAUAAGUCACGGCUAACUACGUGCCAGCAGCCGCGGUAAUACGUAGGUGGCAAGCGUUAUCCGGAAUUACUGGGCGUAAAGCGCACGCAGGCGGCUUACCAAGUUCGACGUGAAAGCUCCCGGCUUAACUGGGAGAGGUCGUUGAAAACUGGUAGGCUUGAGGCAAUGAGAGGGGUGUAGAAUUCCCGGUGUAGUGGUGGAAUGCGUAGAUAUCGGGGGGAAUACCAGUGGCGAAAGCGGCACCCUAGCGUUGUUCUGACGCUCAUGUGCGAAAGCGUGGGGAGCGAACGGGAUUAGAUACCCCGGUAGUCCACGCUGUAAACGAUGAACACUAGGUGUAGGUGAUGUGAAAGUCAUCUGUACCGAAGCCAACGCGUUAAGUGUUCCGCCUGGGGAGUACGGCCGCAAGGCUA
rnacentral:rRNA from 1 species